GGCGGCGUGCUUAACACAUGCAAGUCGAACGGUGAUGUCAGAGCUUGCUCUGGCGGAUCAGUGGCGAACGGGUGAGUAACACGUGAGUAACCUGCCCCCGACUCUGGGAUAACUGCUAGAAAUGGUAGCUAAUACCGGAUAUGACGAUUGGCCGCAUGGUCUGGUCGUGGAAAGAAUUUCGGUUGGGGAUGGACUCGCGGCCUAUCAGGUUGUUGGUGAGGUAAUGGCUCACCAAGCCUACGACGGGUAGCCGGCCUGAGAGGGUGACCGGCCACACUGGGACUGAGACACGGCCCAGACUCCUACGGGAGGCAGCAGUGGGGAAUAUUGCACAAUGGGCGCAAGCCUGAUGCAGCAACGCCGCGUGAGGGAUGACGGCCUUCGGGUUGUAAACCUCUUUUAGUAGGGAAGAAGCGAAAGUGACGGUACCUGCAGAAAAAGCACCGGCUAACUACGUGCCAGCAGCCGCGGUAAUACGUAGGGUGCAAGCGUUGUCCGGAAUUAUUGGGCGUAAAGAGCUCGUAGGCGGUUUGUCGCGUCUGCUGUGAAAUCCCGAGGCUCAACCUCGGGUCUGCAGUGGGUACGGGCAGACUAGAGUGCGGUAGGGGAGAUUGGAAUUCCUGGUGUAGCGGUGGAAUGCGCAGAUAUCAGGAGGAACAC
rnacentral:rRNA from 1 species